GACGAACGCUGGCGGCGUGCUUAACACAUGCAAGUCGAACGGAGUGGCGAACGGGUGAGUAACACUUGGGUGACCUGCCUUGCACUUCGGGAUACGCUUGGGAAACUGGGUCUAAUACCGGAUAGUGCAAGAUGAGCUCGCGGCCUAUCAGCUUGUUGUUGGGGUAAUGGCCUACCACGGCGUCGACGGGUAGCCGGCCUGAGAGGGUGUACGGCCACAUUGGGACUGCGAUACGGCCCAGACUCCUACGGGCGGCAGCAGUGGGGAAUAUUGCACAAUGGGCGGAAGUCUGAUGCAGCGACGCGGCGUGGGGGAUGAAGGCCUUCGCGUUGUAAACUCCUUUCGACAGGGACGCGGUACCUGUAUAAGAAGCACCGGCUAACUACGUGCCAGCAGCCGCGGUAAUUC
rnacentral:rRNA from 1 species